CUAUUUCACUCAAGAUCAAUACCAAUGCUUACUUUGCUUUGAUUCAAUCAGUAAGUCAGUCAACUACAUCUAAAUAAGACAUAUACUCCAUAAAUCAAAUAAGCACAUCCAUAGCCACAGAUUCUCUUCAUCUCAUUAAUUUUUGCUCCAGUUCUCUAGGUAAUUUUCUUUUUUUUUUUAUUAUAUAUAUUCUUUAAAAACUGAUGUAUAAAUCUUAAACAUCGGAACUACUG
rnacentral:lncRNA from 1 species